GACGAACGCUGGCGGCGUGCUUAACACAUGCAAGUCGAGCGGUAAGGCCCUUUCGGGGGUACGACGAGCGGCGAACGGGUGAGUAACACGUGGGUGACCUGCCCUCAGCUCUGGGAUAAGCCCGGGAAACUGGGUCUAAUACCGGAUAUGACUCCAUGACGCAUGUUGUGGGGUGGAAAGCCUUGUGCGGCUGAGGAUGGGCCCGCGGCCUAUCAGCUUGUUGGUGGGGUGACGGCCACCAAGGCGACGACGGGUAGCCGGCCUGAGAGGGCGACCGGCCACACUGGGACUGAGACACGGCCCAGACUCCUACGGGAGGCAGCAGUGGGGAAUCUUGCGCAAUGGGCGAAAGCCUGACGCAGCGACGCCGCGUGAGGGAUGACGGCCUGGUGUAAC
rnacentral:rRNA from 1 species